CUCUUAACUAAGUACCUAUAUUAUAACGUUGCAUCUGGUGCCGUUUAGUACAGUAUUCCUACAUGUGUAAAGCACACGCAUAAAAUUAUUGUGAUUUUGUUUCUGAUAAUUUCUUAAGUGCAAGCAACUUUGGUUCCUGUGAUUUCGUCCAAAACCAAACUACUACCUACUCCAAUUUUCGGAUGAUUUGAGAAACUUCAAUUCAGCAAUCUAGUAACUUUGCACGAGCUCUGCGAUAAAGUCCAGAACCUUCUUGAGAACCAUCCUUGACCGAGCCUCGAAGCUUAACACGCAUUUUUAAAAAUAACUACCACAUACCUUGACCGAGCUUCGAAGCUUAACACGCAUUUUUAAAAGGAACCACCGUUUAACUUGACCGAGCUUCGAAGCUUAACACGCAUUUUUUAAAGGAACCAUCAUAUACGUUGACCGAGCUUCGAAGCAUAACACGCAUUUUUUAAAGGAACCAUCAUAUACGUUGACCGAGCUUCGAAGCUUAACACGCAUUUUUAAAAAGAACUACCACAUACCUUGACCGAGCUUCGAAGCUUAACACGCAUUUUUGAAAAUCGAAUUCAAGAAAAUGUGGAGUGGAGUACUAGAUACGACAGCAGUGGGUAGUACGGCGCUCAAUCCUGUAAAUGGUGACAACAGGAACAACCCAAUGUCUGUACUCAGUCAGACUACUUCAGUGGGCGUUAGAGGCAAUAUAGGCGGGAUGGUGGGUCCAAUUGGCAUUGCUGCUGGCGGAGAGUUGGCUUUCUCUGUUACUGACACUGUAGUGACGCAGGGGCAACGAGAUAGUGCUGUACCCAGAGGAAUACAGGGUGCUGUUGCCAGUGUAAUUAGAGCCAGUAGAUAAAUUAAUGUGACCAAAAUAAAAUGUUGUAUAAUGAUUGCUCGUAAAAUGGCUCUUACUUCACCGCUGUUAAAACUAUAAGAAAGAAGACUUUUACACCCUUGAGCAGUAAAAACAUUCAUUAUCAGUAUCGUCAAAACUGUAACUGGACGAUUUGUUUACAUAAAUCGGGGCAAACAUCGAUAAAUCAUGUUUUAUUGGAAUUUUCGUCUGUCUAUCUCUCUGUGCUUUCUGUCUGUCUCUUUGUAUGUCUCUCUGUCUGUCACUCUGUCUAUCUCCUGUCUGUCUCUCCGUCUGUUUGUCUAUCUGUCUGUGCGCGUAUCAUACUAAAACUAGCGAACGGAUUUAAAUUAUAUUUGGUACAGUAGUAGCUGAUAUUCCGGGUUAACAUAUAGGGUAGGUAGUAUUUAUCCCGAAAAAUAUUUGGGAUGAUUCUUCGGGAUACGGGAUCAAAUUUUUUAUGGAUUUUAUUACAUCAACCAAUUUUCACAAUUCCUUUACAAAAAGACUUCUCACACGCCAUUCAAAAUAAUUAUAUCUCUAUGGAAUUUCCAAAAAAGUUAAUCCAUUGUUCGCUGAUAGUUUGACUUUAAUAUCAAGUUAUUAUAUAUUUUUUUUUACUCACAAGUAGUAGGCACUUACUUGAUAUUUUUAAUUUUUCUUGUAUAAAGUAUGUAGAUGCUUACUUGGAUUUAGUUAAAGUUAAGUGUAAAUGUUAAUAGUAAAAAGUUGUAGCUUCUGUUUUUUUGCAAAAAAUAAAAAUUAUAUAUUACUUUUAGUAUUUAUAUAUUACGUUAGUGCAUAUAUGAUAGGUUAUUUUCAUUCAUAAGUGAAUUUGUAUAUUUUAUUUUUAUAGUCAUAAUUGUAUGGAAGUUGUUCAUUCGUUUAUUAAACGAAUUGAGAAUUAUUGUAAUUAUGUUAAAUUUAUUAUUGUCAGUAAGUAAAUAAAUAUUAUAUUGUUGA